AAGCGGGCAGUGGCUGGUCAGCUGAGACUGUGGUUACCUCACCACCUCUGUACCUCUGCACAAGGUACAGCGUGAAGGUCAUUCGAGCAUGCAUACCCUGACUAAGUUUUCACUCGGUCAGGGUUACAAAGGAGGAAGACUUCCUGGGCCAGAAACAUGUUCAACAAUGCCAGCCUAAAACAGAAAAGCAGAAGAAACACCGCCAUCUGGGGACAGAGGCCAUGACAGGAUCUGGACAGGAUGACAGAUGAGAAACAGGAGAGCCAGACCUGGGAUCACAAGGAAAAACAACACAAAACA